UGCUUUCCUUCAACUAUGUAU
rnacentral:piRNA from 1 species